UUAAAACAAAAAAAGGAAUACUAGGGGUUUAGGCUCAGAUUUCGUGCUGUUACCCUCGUAACUGUUGUUCAAUAGAAAACGGGGGUAUUUCUUUUGGACACCAUUCUUGUUGAGAUUCAUUGGCUCAUAUAUUUUCUUUUAUUUCUCUUUUGAGCACACUUUUUUCCAAUCUUAAUACUUCUAGAUAAGUGCUUCAUGAUCUUUUUUUUUUCUUUUCUUUUC
rnacentral:lncRNA from 1 species